rnacentral:ribozyme from 2 species
AUUGUAACUCUGCCUGUAACCCCUCGAGGGGCUACUGCCGGUCCCAAGCCCGGAUAAAGGAGGAGGGUUGG